AGAUUGAACGCUGGCGGUAGGCCUAACACAUGCAAGUCGAGCGCGAAAGUGCCUUCGGGUGCGAGUAGAGCGGCGGACGGGUGCGUAACGCGUAGGAAUCUGCCUGGUAGUGGGGGAUAACUCGGGGAAACUCGAGCUAAUACCGCAUACGCCCCAGUGGGGGAAAGCGGGGGACCUUCGGGCCUCGCGCUAUCAGAUGAGCCUGCGUCGGAUUAGCUAGUUGGUAGGUAAUGGCCUACCAAGGCGACGAUCCGUAGCUGGUCUGAGAGGAUGAUCAGCC
rnacentral:rRNA from 1 species